CGGGGUGUGGCGCAGUUUGGUAGCGCACAUGGUUUGGGACCAUGGGGUCGGGAGUUCGAAUCUCUUCACCCCGACCA
rnacentral:tRNA from 1 species